GGUGGGGGAAGCUCUUCAAUGUGGGCUCUCGAUGAGUGUUCCUCACUCCCUAGCCCCUAGGAAGGUCUGAGACUGCGGCCUCCUUUGGCCCUAACCAGGCUCUAGUGAUGUCCCAGAGAGCAGGGCUCCAUGUGUGGGCAGACUGGGCAGGAGAUGCCUCCCUCGCUGGAACUUGGAACAGACUCACAACAAAGAGCUAAUUUUCAUUGAGAUUUUGAUCUUAGGUAUU
rnacentral:lncRNA from 1 species